rnacentral:tRNA from 4 species
GGGCGAAUAGCUCAGCUGGGAGAGCAACGGUCUUACAAACCGUAGGUCACAGGUUCGAUCCCUGUUUCGCCCACCA